GUAUCAAGGAAUCAUUGCGUGCGGGUGACAAGUUCAUAUUCGCCCCAUGUUUUGAGGAUGCACAUUGGACCCUGCUGGUGAUUUGUGUUCCCAGUAACACCAUCUUCCUUUUUGAUUCAGCUCGAUUGCCUCAUCCGAAAAAGCUCCUCGUGAAGUCUAUACUGCGAAAUGCUAUGAAGAAUAUAAAUUGCCGAGCUCCUCAAGGUCCUACAUGGAAAUCA